GCGUGAGUGAAGAAGGCCUUAGGGUUGUAAAGCUCUUUCACCCGUGACGAUGAUGACGGUAGCGGGAGAAGAAGCCCCGGCUAACUCCGUGCCAGCAGCCGCGGUAAUACGGAGGGGGCAAGCGUUGUUCGGAAUUACUGGGCGUAAAGGGCGCGUAGGCGGGUUACCAAGUCAGAGGUGAAAGUCCUGGGCUCAACCUGGGGACUGCCUUUGAAACUGGUGAUCUAGAGUCCGGGAGAGGAUGGCGGAAUUCCCAGUGUAGAGGUGAAAUUCGU
rnacentral:rRNA from 1 species